rnacentral:rRNA from 1 species
AGCGGACGCUGGCGGCAGGCUUAACACAUGCAAGUCGAACGGGCACUUCGGUGCUAGUGGCAGACGGGUGAGUAACGCGUGGGAACGUACCUUUCGGUUCGGAAUAAUUCAGGGAAACUUGGACUAAUACCGGAUACGCCCUUCGGGGGAAAGAUUUAUCGCCGAUAGAUCGGCCCGCGUCUGAUUAGCUAGUUGGUGAGGUAAUGGCUCACCAAGGCGACGAUCAGUAGCUGGUCUGAGAGGAUGAUCAGCCACAUUGGGACUGAGACACGGCCCAAACUCCUACGGGAGGCAGCAGUGGGGAAUAUUGGACAAUGGGCGCAAGCCUGAUCCAGCCAUGCCGCGUGAGUGAUGAAGGCCUUAGGGUUGUAAAGCUCUUUUGUCCGGGAAGAUAAUGACUGUACCGGAAGAAUAAGCCCCGGCUAACUUCGUGCCAGCAGCCGCGGUAAUAC